rnacentral:misc_RNA from 1 species
CGGCCGAUGAUGUCGUGCAAUUGCUUUAUACGUCGGGCACAACAGGUGAGCCCAAGGGGGUGAUGCAUACAGGCAAUACGUUGCUGAACAGCGUGCGAUAUUUUGAGGAUCGCGUCCGUCUCACAGCCAACGAUGUCGUGCUGAUGGCCUCGCCGAUGGCCCANNNACCGGUUUUCUCGUCGGCCUGCUGCUGCCGCUGUAUCUGGGAGGACGGGUCAUUCUUCAGGAUAUCUGGAAUCCAGCCAAGGCGGUCGAUAUUGUCGAGACAGAGCGCGUGACGAUGACCAUGGCAUCGACGCCGUUUCUGGCGGAUUU